CCUACGGGAGACAGCAGUGGGGAAUAUUGGACAAUGGGGGAAACCCUGAUCCAGCGACGCCGCGUGAGUGAAGAAGUAUUUCGGUACGUAAAGCUCUAUCAGCAGGAAAGAACAUGACGGUACCUGACCAAGAAGCCCUGGCUAACUACGUGCCAGCAGCCGCGGUAAUACGUAGGGGGCAAGCGUUAUCCGGAUUUACUGGGUGUAAAGGGAGCGUAGACGGCAGUGCAAGUCUGGAGUGAAAUGCCGGUGCCCAACCCCGGAACUGCUCUGGAAACUGUGAAGCUGGAGUGCAGGAGAGGUAAGCGGAAUUCCUGGUGUAGCGGUGAAAUGCGUAGAUAUCAGGAGGAACACCAGCGGCGAAGGCGACUUACUGGACUGUAACUGACGUUGAGGCUCGAAGGCGUGGGGAGCAAACAGGAUUAGAUACCCUGGUAGUC
rnacentral:rRNA from 1 species